rnacentral:tRNA from 1 species
AGGAUUGUUGCUCAGCGGUAGAGUGCUUGCCUAGCAUGAGUGGAACCUGAGUUCGAUCCUCAGGAUCUCA